AUGAAGACAUCCAUUGGUGCAGGAUUCCUGUUCUUGUGGCUGAGGAUGGGUUGUGUUAGUAGAGGAGAGAAUGUGGAGCAGAGUCCUUCCAUCCUGAGUGUCCACCAGGGAGCCAAGGCUGUUAUCAACUGUACUUAUUCAGAUAGUUCCUCAAGCUACUUCCCUUGGUAUAAGCAAGAACUUGGGAAAAGCCUUCAUUUGAUCAUCUACAUUCUUUCAACUAAGCCACAAGAGAAAGACCAAAGACUCACAGUUUUACUGGAUAAAAAUGCCAAACAUCUUUCCCUGCACAUAGCAGAUACCCAGCCUGGAGACUCAGCUGUCUACUUCUGUGCAGCGAGUGCACAGUGCUUUCCAGGCACCUGCAACUUGUGCUGA